rnacentral:rRNA from 1 species
UACGGGGGGGGCGAAGCGUUGUUCGGAAUUACUGGGCGUAAAGGGCUCGUAGGUGGCCAACUAAGUCAGACGUGAAAUCCCUCAGCUUAACUGGGGAACUGCGUCUGAUACUGGAUGGUUUGAGUUUGGGAGAGGGAUGCGGAAUUCCAGGUGUAGCGGUGAAAUGGCGUAGAUAUCUGGAGGAACACCGGUGGCGAAGGCGGCAUCCUGGACCAAUACUGACACUGAGGAGCGAAAGGCCAGGGGAGGACAAACCGGGAGGU